CACAGGGAACGGGUAGGGUCCCACAGUUUGGGGAGAGACAUGUCAGUCCUCAAGGUCUGGGAUCAGGGCGUGGCCAGGGUCUCCGCUGGCUUUGCUGAUGGUCAGGACCCAGGCAUGCCAGGCAAGGCCUCAGCCCAGCAGUUGCCAAGCGUGUAGCCACUUUGGUCCCCUGGAGAGAGUCGCGCUGCGGAGCCCCCAGGGGGACCUGAGGUCACGAAAGCCUCGAUGCACCUGAGUGUGGAGCUGGAGGUCCCUGGAGCCGCUGUCCCCACCUGCGGCGCUGGAGCCCUGGAGGUGGCCAGGGGCUUCCUUGGAACGUGGAGACGUGCUGGUUAAACGUGGAGCCCUGGGCCAGCCGGGCACUGGGGACUGCAGGUGGAGGGAGGUGAAUGCUCUCCCUCGUGGGGGCGUGUCUUUUCCACAGGAAAGGGAAAGGGGGAGGGACACGGGUCAGCAGUGGGGGGCUGUGCAGUCUCGCAGAUCUUCACCCUUGGUUCUUGAACUCUGGACCCUGAGCCCUGCCAAGGGUCCCGCAUAGGUGGGCAAGGAGCUCCCGGCUGCUUGGUCUCCGCUGUGUUGGGGCUGCCAGCAGGGGACGCUGGGCCCCCGGAAGCCUAACUCAUGCUCCCUCCCCGCCCCGCAGUCUCCAUCGACUCCAUCCAGGAGGUGAGUGAGGGGCGGCAGUCGGAGGUCUUCCAGCGCUACCCUGACGGCAGCUUCGACCCCAACUGCUGCUUCAGCAUCUACCACGGCAGCCACCGCGAGUCGCUGGACCUGGUCUCCACCAGCAGCGAGGUGGCACGCACCUGGGUCACUGGCCUGCGCUACCUCAUGGCCGGCAUCAGCGACGAGGACAGCCUGGCUCGCCGCCAGCGCACCAGGGACCAAUGGCUGAAGCAGACAUUUGACGAGGCCGACAAGAAUGGGGACGGCAGCCUGAGCAUCGGCGAGGUCCUGCAGCUGCUGCACAAGCUCAACGUGAACCUGCCCCGGCAGAGGGUGAAGCAGAUGUUCAGGGAAGCGGACACGGAUGACCACCAAGGGACGCUGGGUUUUGAAGAGUUCUGUGCCUUCUACAAGAUGAUAUCCACCCGCCGGGACCUCUACCUGCUCAUGCUGACCUACAGCAACCACAAGGACCACCUGGAUGCCGCCAGCCUGCAGCGCUUCCUGCAGGUGGAGCAGAAGAUGACGGGUGUGACCCUCGAGAGCUGCCAGGACAUCAUCGAGCAGUUUGAGCCAUGCCCAGAAAACAAGAGUAAGGGGCUGCUGGGCAUUGAUGGCUUCACCAACUACACCAGGAGCCCUGCUGGUGACAUCUUCAACCCUGAGCACCACCACGUGCACCAGGACAUGACGCAGCCACUGAGUCACUACUUCAUCACCUCGUCCCACAACACCUACCUCGUGGGUGACCAGCUCAUGUCCCAGUCACGGGCGGACAUGUACGCUUGGGUCCUGCAGGCUGGCUGCCGCUGCGUGGAGGUGGACUGCUGGGAUGGGCCCGACGGGGAGCCCAUCGUGCACCAUGGCUACACUCUGACCUCCAAGAUCCUCUUCAAAGACGUCAUUGAAACCAUCAACAAAUAUGCCUUCAUCAAGAACGAGUACCCAGUGAUCCUGUCCAUCGAGAACCACUGCAGUGUCAUCCAGCAGAAGAAAAUGGCCCAGUAUCUGACCGACAUCCUUGGGGACAAGCUGGACCUGUCAUCAGUGAGCAGUGAAGAUGCCACCACACUCCCCUCUCCACAGAUGCUCAAGGGCAAGAUCCUCGUGAAGGGGAAGAAGCUCCCAGCCAACAUCAGCGAGGAUGCGGAGGAAGGCGAGGUGUCUGAUGAGGACAGCGCUGAUGAGAUUGACGAUGACUGCAAGCUCCUCAAUGGGGAUGCAUCCACCAAUCGAAAGCAUGUAGAAAACAUUGCUAAGAGGAAACUGGAUUCUCUCAUCAAGGAGUCGAAGAUUCGGGACUGUGAGGACCCCAACGACUUCUCCGUCUCCACACUGUCCCCAUCUGGAAAACUCGGACGCAAGAGCAAGGCUGAAGAGGACGUGGAGUCUGGGGAGGAUGCCGGGGCCAGCAGACGCAAUGGCCGCCUCGUCGUGGGAAGCUUCUCCAGGCGCAAGAAGAAGGGCAGCAAGCUGAAGAAGGCGGCCAGCGUGGAGGAGGGAGAUGAGGGUCAGGACUCCCCGGGAGGCCAGAGCCGAGGGGCGACCCGGCAGAAGAAGACCAUGAAGCUGUCCCGGGCCCUCUCUGACCUGGUGAAGUACACCAAGUCCGUGGCCACCCACAACAUAGAGAUGGAGGCAGCGUCCAGCUGGCAGGUGUCGUCCUUCAGCGAGACCAAGGCCCACCAGAUUCUGCAGCAGAAGCCAGCGCAGUACCUGCGCUUCAACCAGCACCAGCUCUCCCGCAUCUACCCCUCCUCCUACCGCGUGGACUCCAGCAACUACAACCCGCAGCCCUUCUGGAACGCCGGCUGCCAAAUGGUUGCCCUGAACUACCAGUCAGAGGGGCGGAUGCUGCAGCUGAACCGAGCCAAGUUCAGCGCCAACGGUGGCUGCGGCUACGUACUCAAGCCUGGGUGCAUGUGCCAGGGUGUGUUCAACCCCAACUCGGAGGACCCCCUGCCCGGGCAGCUCAAGAAGCAGCUGGUGCUCCGGAUCAUCAGUGGCCAACAGCUUCCGAAGCCGCGCGACUCCAUGCUGGGGGACCGCGGGGAGAUCAUCGACCCCUUUGUGGAGGUGGAGAUCAUCGGGCUCCCCGUGGACUGUAGCCGGGAGCAGACCCGCGUGGUGGACGACAACGGGUUCAACCCCACCUGGGAGGAGACCCUGGUGUUCACGGUGCACAUGCCGGAGAUCGCGCUGGUCCGCUUCCUCAUCUGGGACCACGAUCCCAUCGGGCGUGACUUCAUUGGCCAGAGGACGCUGGCCUUCAGCAGCAUGAUGCCAGGCUACAGGCACGUGUACCUGGAGGGGAUGGAAGAGGCCUCCAUCUUUGUACAUGUGGCUGUCAGUGACGUCAGCGGUAAGGUCAAGCAGGCUCUGGGCCUAAAAGGCCUCUUCCUCCGAGGCCCAAAGCCCGGCUCACUGGACAGUCAUGCUGCUGGGCGGCCCCUGGCCCGGCCCUCCGUUAGCCAGCGGCUCCUGCGGCGCACGGCCAGCGCCCCGACCAAGAGCCAGAAGCCAGGCCGCAAGGGCUUCCCGGAGCUGGUCCUGGGCGCACAGGACGCAGGCUCCAAGGGGGUGGCAGACGACGUGGUGCCCCCCGGGCCCGGACCUGCUCCGGAAGCCCCAGCCCAGGAGGGGCCCGGCAGCGGCAGCCCCCGAGGUAAGGCGCCGGCUGCGGUGGCAGAGAAGAGCCCUGUGCGAGUGCGGCCCCCGCGUGUCCUGGAUGGCCCCGGGCCUGCUGGGGUGGCCGCCACAUGCACAAAGUGUGUGGUGGGAUCCUGCGCCGGCAUGAACACCGAGGGCCUGCAGAGGGAGCGGCCACCCAGCCCGGGGCCUGCGAGCAGGCAGGCAGCCAUUCGCCAGCAGCCCCGGGCCUGGGCUGACUCGCUGGGGGCCCCCUGCUAUGGCCUGGACCCUCAAGCUAUGCCGGGGAGAAGCAGAGAGGCCCCCAACGGUCCCGGGGCCUGGAGGCAGGGUCCAGGCGGUGGCGGCUCCAUGUCCUCGGACUCCAGCAGCCCAGACAGCCCAGGCAUCCCUGAAAGGUCCCCCCGCUGGCCUGAGGGUGCCUGCAGGCAACCGGGGGCCCUGCAGGGAGAGAUGAGUGCCUUGUUUGCUCAAAAGCUGGAGGAGAUCAGGAGUAAAUCCCCCAUGUUCUCCGCCGGUAAGCCCCUCUUGCCCCGCGUGGUCCUCCCGCAUGCCCCUGGCAUGGCUGGGCCCUGGGUCACCUGCUGCUGCUGCUGCUUCGUGGACGGCGUCGCCUCGUGUGCUCGUGCUCGUGGCUCUGUCUCCGUGGCACUGUCUCCGUGGCACUCUGCUCCCUUGGCUUGCCUGUGGCCCAUAGCCCCAGCCCUCCUGUCUGACCCUGAGGCCCUGGGACUUGGGUGGAGCUGGUUUGAGGCCCAACAGGCUGGGAAGAAUCAGCUGCUCUUGCUGAGGGUCCGGGGCCGGGACUAUGGCCUGACAUGCUGGGCCCCUCCGGCUGAGCGCUUCCCCAAACUCACCUCCUGGGCAGCUGGCAACCUGCAUGGCCCCUGAUGCCUUUCCUGGGACUGGGGGCCACAUCCCAUCCCAUUCCCACCUCCCUCUAGGGCAGGCUCUGGGGGUCCCUACUGGGAAGUCUGAUGUGGGCAGGCAGUGCAGCUGCUGGGCGUCUCCUGCGCCCCCGGGAUGCCUGGAGCCUGCUGAGUACUGCGUGGAGUAGAUUCCCUGGGCCCCGGGGCUUCGCUGCUUUGGGCUGAAGCGCCCCACUAGGAGGAUGUCUCCUUAGCCUGGAGGGAGGGAUAUACACGGAGCCCUCCCCACACCACCCUGCCCCUCCAGACCCCCCUGACCGAGCUUUCCUUUCUGCCCCCACCCACGCUGCCUCCGUAGUUAGGAACUGAGAGCGGCGAGUGACAGGUAACGGGGCCCAGCCCUGGUGUCCCGUACUGUCCCAGCCCAAGGAGGGCCCCGUGUGCGGCACAGGGCGUGCACUGGGCCCCAGCAGCAGCAGGGUGGGGACACUGAGUGUGCCGCCACGCCCGGGGGAUGCCUCGGGGUGGGAGCUGGGCCUGGCGACCCUCGGCGCAGGGCACCGGGGACACCACCCUGAUCCAACUCCUCUCCGCCUCUCUCCCUGCCUCCCUCUCUUUCCCUCUUCUGCUUCUCCCUCUGGCUCUCUCUCUCUGACUCCUCCACAUCCCCACAGACACCCGCCCCCUCUCCACGCAGCGGCCGCUCCCCGCACUGUGCAGCCUGGAAACCAUUGCUGAGGAGCCCGCCCCAGGCCCUGGCCCCCGCCACUAGCGGCCGUCCCCACCAGCUCUUCUCAGGGACGGCCCCCAUACCUCACAGGACCCGGAGCCAAUGUGGCAAGCCCCCCAGAAGACACCGAGGAACCCCGAGACAGUGGGCCUCGGCCGUGCAACGGCAAGGGCCCCGGUGGGGCAUACGAGGGGGCUCCUGGCAGCCAGACGGACGGCAGGAGCCAGCCCCGGACCCCGGGCCACCUGCCCGUGAUUAGAAGGGUGAAGAGUGAGGGGCAGGUGCCCACGGAGCCCCUGGGAGGAUGGCGGCCCCUGGCCAGUCCCUUCCCAGCCCCUGCUGUGUACUCCGACGCCACGGGCAGUGACCGGCUGUGGCAGCGGCUGGAGCCAUGUGGCCCCCGAGACAGCGUUUCCUCCUCCUCCAGCAUGUCAUCCAGUGACACUGUCAUUGACCUCUCCCUGCCCAGCCUGGGCCUGGGCCGCAGCCGUGAGAGCCUCGCAGGAGCCCACAUGGGACGCCUGCCUCCCAGGCCCCACUCGGCUUCAGCCGCCCGCCCAGACCUGCCACCUGUGACCAAGAGCAAAUCCAACCCCAACCUGCGGGCUACGGGUCAGCGGCCUCCCAUGCCUGAUGAACUGCGGCCCAGGCCCCUGGCCCCACGGAUGCCUGGCCUCCCUCUCCGGCCUCCCUGGGGCUGCCUUUCCCUGGUGGGCCUGCAGGACUGCCCAGUGGCUGCCAAGUCCAAGAGCCUGGGGGACCUCACUGCUGAUGACUUUGCCCCUAGCUUUGAGGGCAGCUCCCGCAGCCUUAGCCACAGCCUGGGCCUCCCGGGAGGGACACGGCGGGUGUCGGGGCCGGGGGUGAGACGGGACGCCCUGACAGAGCAGCUGCGCUGGCUCACAGUCUUCCAGCAGGCAGGAGACAUCACGUCACCCACCAGCCUGGGCCCGGCUGGGGAGGGGGUGGCAGGGGGUCCUGGUUUUCUGCGGCGCUCCUCCUCCCGCAGCCAGAGCCGCGUGCGUGCCAUUGCCAGCCGGGCCCGCCAGGCCCAGGAGCGGCAGCAGAGACUGCAGGGCCUGGGACGGCAGGGACCCCCAGAAGAGGAGCGGGGCACCCCCGAGGGCGCCUGCUCCGUGGGCCACGAGGGCAGUGUGGAUGCGCCAGCACCCUCCAAGGGAGCCCCGGGGCCAGCAUCCGCGGCCGCUGAAACCCUGGUCCUGCUCCGCCUCUGACCCUGUCAGUGGUGGGAACCUGGGCGGCUCUGGAGGCCCAGGGCAGGGGUGGGCGUGUUGUGUUUGCUCAGGAAACAGGGCAGCCAGGCCCCCAAAACUGUGUGUCCCUGGCUGCCCUGUGUCCCCUCGGCCCCUGCCCCCCUCCUGCCCCGCUCCCAGGGAGGAAAGGCUAAAGCUGCUGGCCCGGGGCCCACAGGAGGGGCUUCGAGGCUGGCCCCGCCAGGCAGUCUUCCCAGCGUUUUAGGAUCUAUACAUAGAGAAAUAUUUAAAUUUUUAGAAGCAAAACUUAUACGACAUUAAAAUGAUACCAAAUCCCUUUC
rnacentral:sRNA from 1 species